UUGAUGCCAAUGACUUAGAGUUCCUUUGUU
rnacentral:piRNA from 1 species